GAUUCAGAAAGGAGCUUCACCAAAGACAUUUUAAUGAGUAAGUCUGAUUACACAUUCACUUAGUGAGGGUAACAAAGUACAAAAGGCAGGGUAAAGUCAUUGUAAAUAAUGCAAAUGCAGAUGAUGCUGGGAAUGACAGAGCCGAGUCUGCUGGCCCAGAAGGCAUUUUUGAGGCUACUGAUGAAAGGGUCAGGGGAAGGCCUGGAUACCUUCAGUGGUUGCCAACCAGCUUCUGGGUUGUUUGGAUUUCAUAACUUCUACCCAGGAAACUCAACUGAAGCCUGCACAGCUCUCCCUGCUAACUGACAACGAAAAACUCUGCCUUCCUCUUUGUGUCAGCUCUGACGUUCCUGAGCUGCUGCAACUCACCCAAGAAAAGCCUUUUCUGCUGGGUGAGUCGAGUCUGCUAAAUGAGAAGUUCAAUGUCAUCAAUGGAGAGUUAUCACCAGGAAAAUUUAACUGGAUGUCUGGAGAGCAGAUCAAGGAAAUUAGCACUCACACAAAACUACUGCUUAUCCUCUGCAAAGGCAUAGAAAGAAGGAGCAACAAGAGCCUGUGGAGGGAUUGGACCUAAAUAAAGGUUAAAAACAAGCAGACGUGUUGAAGAUACUAGAACAAGUAGUGAGAAAAAAUAGCAGAGUACGUGUAGUUGUGCAAGUAAAUAAAGAAAUUCUUUGUUAUUUUUGGCAA